UCCCCCAAGAACAGGGAUCACAUUCUCAGC
rnacentral:piRNA from 1 species